GAGCACACUUCAAAUUGGAUUACCAACAUCCACUGAUCUGCAGGAUGUAACUGAUUCAACUUAGUCCAAUGUGAUGUGAGUUGGACCCUGUUGCGCCAAUAUGGACGUUUAUGAAAUUACCCAUGACUAGGUAUGGACAUCAAGUGGCUGAGCAGUGAUGACCUCACACAAUUAAAAGGAGAAAUAACUUUGUUAAGAACUUAGAAUAACAUCGAGCCUUUGGAAACUGUUGAACAGAGAUAGGAUGCGAUGAAUGGACAAUUGGUGGAACUUUGCCCUUUUCAACAUUACAGGGAGCAGCUGACUCAUAUCAUCAAUGGAGGUUACCCCGGGUAUAUUUAUGUGUGUUCUAUAUAAAGUAAGCCAUCUAAAACAUGACACAGGGUAUCAGUUAGGUUGAAUGUUGUUUUAGUUCAUUAUGUGUCAAGUAAUGAAAAAUGCCCAAAAUGAACAUUAACAACCAUAUAUAAAAUUGAAACCACCAUAAAUAUUUGGUGACAUAUAAGGCAAAGUUAUCAACAGCAAUUUAGAUUUAGAGUGCUCUAAAUGAAGUGAUCAAGUUGAAAUCAACGCAUUGCUCCUAAUUUAGCCCUUUGUUCUUUAAUUCUGUUUCUCACCUGUUUUUAAAUAACGGCUUAGAUAUGAAAAGGUAUAGACCUAACUACUAAGAUAUUACUGAUCCUGGCGAUAAAGGGUCACUUGGUUGAUGAGCCGACAGUCAUGAGUGUAGCAACCAUGG